UGCAGCCCUGGAGGAGACGGAGGCCGCGGGUGGGCCCGAGGCGCAAGAGGAAGAUGAGGACGAAGAAGAGGCGCUGCCGCACUCCGAGGCCAUGGACGUGUUCCAGGAGGGUCUGGCUAUGGUGGUGCAGGACCCGCUGCUCUGCGAUCUGCCGAUCCAGGUUACUUUGGAAGAAGUCAACUCCCAAAUAGCCCUAGAAUACGGCCAGGCAAUGACAGUCCGAGUGUGCAAGAUGGAUGGAGAAGUAAUGCAGUGCCACAGUCCUGGACCUGAAGAAGGCCAUCCAGAGAUACGUGCAGCUCAAGCAGGAGCGUGAAGGGGGCAUUCAG
rnacentral:sRNA from 1 species